rnacentral:ncRNA from 2 species
AAUAAAUUAAAUACCGUUGGUGACUUAAAGCAAGGCAAACUUUAAGGAGAAUAGGGAAUCAGGUGCAAGUCCUGAGCGGACCCGCCACUGUAACCAGGAAAAUAUGCGGUAAGUUUAAGCCACUGGGGUAGCACUUUAGGGUUAUAGUAAGCUUCGGCAGCAGCAAUUUAUUACGGAAUAAAUGAACGGCAAGCGGCAUUGAAACUUUUAUAAACUGAGGCCACCCUGGGAAGGCAGCCAAUAUAAGUUAGAAAACUGGAGCCAGGAGACCUGCCGGCGGUAUAAAACCGGG